GACGAACGCUGGCGGCGUGCUUAACACAUGCAAGUCGAACGGAAAGGCCCUGCUUUUGUGGGGUGCUCGAGUGGCGAACGGGUGAGUAACACGUGAGUAACCUGCCCUUGACUUUGGGAUAACUUCAGGAAACUGGGGCUAAUACCGGAUAGGAGCUCCUGCUGCAUGGUGGGGGUGGGAAAGUUUCGGCGGUUGGGGAUGGACUCGCGGCUUAUCGGCUUGUUGGUGGGGUAGUGGCUUACCAAGGCUUUGACGGGUAGCCGGCCUGAGAGGGUGACCGGCCACAUUGGGACUGAGAUACGGCCCAGACUCCUACGGGAGGCAGCAGUGGGGAAUAUUGCACAAUGGGCGGAAGCCUGAUGCAGCAACGCCGCGUGCGGGAUGACGGCCUUCGGGUUGUAAACCGCUUUCGCCUGUGACGAAGCGUGAGUGACGGUAAUGGGUAAUGAAGCACCGGCUAACUACGUG
rnacentral:rRNA from 1 species